CCAAAGUAAAGGAGUUAGUUAUGUUUGCUGCCUUACUGGAAGGAUCUUAAGAAAAGGAGCAGAAAUUGACAUAAGCCACUGAAGAGACCUCAGAAAAAACUGUGAAUGAUCCCUUGGUGUGAUACUUCCAUUGGCUCUUCUGACCCCAACCCUGGACUCGGACUCUGUGGCUCACAGAAGUGGGAAAGUCACUGAGAAUGGAGGUGUGGUUCCGAGGGAUUCUGGAUUGGGUUCUAAGCUUGUUUAAAAGGUUGACUUACUAAUGCUAUGGUGAUUGAUGUUUACUUCAAUACAUGACUCAGAAGGUUUGCCUGACAGCCCAGAAGGGCGAAGUCUUCUCUGUGGAGCACUUUCCAACUCCUAGGACAGCACCGGAAGUUUCUUGGGAACAGGUCAAUGGUAAAACGUGGAAGAGGACUAUGAGCACAUUGUGGGCAGAGCCAGUUAAUCAGUCAACAGAGAUCUCACCUUGGAGACAGAGGCAUGCAGGCAUGAUGGUGCAGAAAUAAAUGACUGAGAUUAUCUGGAGACAGAUGAGAAGAGAUGGGUAAUUUGAACAUAAUUGAUAUUUUCAGAUUUAAAAUUUUGAGAUUUGGGAUCAGUAUUCCAAAAUCUAGAAUAAGGGACCAGGUAGGUCUCUGUGUACUUUAUUAAGAUCACUGGUCGAGUACUAACAUGGGACAUUUGGAGGAGCGGUGGAAGGGGAAGCUGCACCAAAAAAAAAAAAAAAAAGAAAAGAAAAAAAAAAAGAGAGAGAAAAAAUGUCCCCAAAGAGUGAAUAUGAUUGUAGUAUUGAAUUUUUAUAAAACUGUGUAUAUAUGCAGAUGAGGCAUGUUUUUAAAAAAAUCAAUGAUUGUUAGAGCCAGAAAUAAAUGUAGGGAUUCUCAAAUAUAGAGAUUCUCUAAGUGUGGUGAGCCCUGGAAUCUCCUGGAGUUUGUAAAAAUCAUGUAGAUGCACAGAUUCUACCCCAGUGGCCAACACCCCUGCCCCCUCCCACAACCUAGGGGAUUCCAAAAUAUACAAAGACCCGAGAACACAUAUCUGUCCAGUUUCCUUAUUUUACAAAGGAGGAAACUGGCAUCCCAAAG
rnacentral:lncRNA from 1 species